CUGUCGUGACGCCUUGUGCGCUCGUUGUGGGCGCGCCGCGUUUCCUUUCUACACCCCGUCCCUUUUCAGGCAAUGAUAGCAGCAUAGAGCGGAGAGUGCGAGCGAGAAAGGAGGGGCAGCGGCGCCGCUUACUGCGGCCUCCUGCCGAAGCGGAUGACGACGAAGGUCCUGAUGGUUGUCCGUCUCCUGCUCUACAUCGCACCUCGCUCUGCCAUGUGGUUUGCACCUCCCUAUUUCUUUCCUUUUUUUGGGUUCCUGUGCGUGCGUGCAUGUGUGUGUGUGUCUUGCAGGGCACCUCUAGUCGUCUUCCUGUGUCUCUCUGAUAUUCUUUUUCGGUGUUUUACGUACACGUCUGUUCACCCCCCCCCCCAUUCACCGCACCCAUGACGACGACGACGACGACGGGGGGGGAUGGGAGAGGGACGCACACCGCCCCGUGCGUGGCAUCUCCGGUACUCUGCACAUCUCUCUCUCUCUGUGGGCGGAAGCCAGGCGGUCCCUCUAUCCCUGCCAAAUGCCAGAGUCACUUCCGGCGGUCACAGGGCCGAGCGCCUGGGACGUGGCGAAGUCAGGGCGCCUCAUCGCCACCGAUGCCGACGGCCACACCCUCGACGGCGUGGCGUCGGAGCGACCCGAGACCGCGAGCACGCCUGCACCAUCCAUACGAGCGACGAGGCGCCAGCGCGACUCGAACACAUCCCGCCCCGCCCUCGCUGCCUGCGGGUGUACGUGUGCGUACGGGGGGAGCUUGAGCCACCGCGAGGAGGAUCACACCAGGUGGCGGCCGGCAUGAUGAGGGAGGCGCUGUGAGGCGACCUGCGAGGCGAGGGACGGAUGAGUAAAGAAUGGAGUCAGAGGUCGUGCUCCGACGGCUGAGCCGGCGCAUUACUGUACUGGCCCUUCGAGCGCUGCUUCGCACCACGCGGAUGGGGCCCUGCGACACGGCCGGGACCAGUGUGAGGCCUGAUCUCCUGCCUUGCGACAGAAAUGGGCGCGUCGAAGGGUGCAGAUUCGCUUCCAUGUUUUUUGCAUCUGUGUGCCCCCUCUCCCUUCUCCUCUCCCUCGGCGUGCUCUUCCACGCUUGCUCGUUGCUGCUGCUGUGUGUGGGGUGCUAACAGAGAAGGUCUUUCUCCUCCGGUCUGUUUUCUUGUUUUCCUUUCGUUUAUGCCGUGAGGUGCUGUGAUAUGUGCAUGCGUUCAUGGGAGCGAUCGCUUUCCUUCCCUCUGCAGUCAGUUCUCACGCUGUGUAGAGCCCCUCUCUCGUAUUUCUUUGCUGCGCCUUCUUCUGGUGCUCGCGUCUCUCCCUCUAUCCGCGCGUUCUUGGUGCGGUGCCCAAGCAUGUGGGCACAACCCACACCCACGCAUGCGUGUCUGUGUCACCUCUCCGUCAUUGACCGCAGUGAUGUGUCACGGCUGAUGCUGCUGCGUGGACAGAAUUCGUAGUGCGGCCGACUUCGGCGUGUUUCUCUCUCGGUGUGUGUGCGUGUGCGUGCGCCUUCAUUCGUAUGACUUUGUCUUUUCCUAGCUGCCCUCCCUUACCACUGUUGCGUCCCUCGUGGCAUCACUCGGCUGUUGUUCUUCUUCCUCGCUGUUUUCCUGGUGUCUUUCUCAAGUGCUUGUCUGUCCGCAGUGAUGCCGCGGCGUGCGCCAGCACACCCCCACCUCAUUCUCCCCUCUGUGAAUCUCCGACCAUGUCGAAUGUACAGGCGUUCAUGCAGACCACAAGCAUGAAAAGGGGACAAACACCCAACCCACACGCGGACACGGGCGCCCCUCUCUCUACGCACAUGCACACCCUUGUCGAGUGUGAGGGAGACGACGCUGUUGCUUGGACGCUUGCGUGUAUGUCUGUGUGCGUGUGCUCGUAACGCAUAGGCAAAGGACGGCGCCCCGCGAAGAUGUGCCCUGCCCUUUCCUUGAAGGGGCGCAGUGCGUUCGCCUUGAACCCUGCAUCCGCCAGCCUCUCUUCCUUCCUCUGCUCCGCCUCGUUGUCGUCGCCGUCGCCGAGCUGCUGCGGAAGCAGGCUUUCAUGCCUCCCUGCGCUCCAUACUCUCGUGUGCGUGUGUGUCUCGUUGUCCCUUGCGCAUGCCGCCAACGCCUUCUCGCACUCUUGCUGGCUUCCGCCACGCUCAACUCCUCCUCAACGCAUAACAUCCAUUUUCACUCAG
rnacentral:misc_RNA from 1 species